UCUCCAAUAGCUCAGUGGUAGAGCAGCUGGCUGUUAACCAGUUUGUCGUUGGUUCAAAUCCAACUUGGGGAG
rnacentral:tRNA from 1 species